rnacentral:lncRNA from 1 species
UGCCUCAUGCAAUGUGGUAUCUCUUGAGGAUGAAGGCAGAGCUAGAUGACAUAGAGAAAAAAAAAUCUUUCAGAAGAAAGUGAGAUCAGUUAUUUAAUCCAAACACCAGAAGAAUGCUACUCACAUAAGCUGAUUUGUUUUCCAGAAUAUGAGACUGGAUCUGCUUAUAUAUGAGGAAGCAAAAUGCAAAGCCCUUGAUUAUGGUCUGACUCCUGUUCCAGUGCAGACAUGGAGGGUGAGUUGGCAAUCUCCUCAGAGAUGGAGCAACUACAGACAGCUCUUUUUUUUGAUAAUCUUCCUGACACUUGGAUGAGACUGGCUUAUCCAUCAACAUACAGUUGCUCAGUGGAGCCUCCUGAGUAAGGCAUAGAGCCACUGACUGAUGGAGUGAACGAGGACUGGAGAGCUGACCAAAGGACAGGAAAGCUCUGCCAAGCACAAAGACAGGUAGCACUAGAAGGCA